rnacentral:tRNA from 1 species
GCGCCCGGUGGAGCCUGACACGGCGCGGCUCAAAGCCGGCCGUCGUAGGUUCGAAUCCUACCGGGCGUACCA